AUCACUUCAUUGUUAGUUGAAUCAUGAGGUUCUGAGAGAAAGAGUCGCCAUUUUUAGACCUUUCUAUUUUUGAGGUUUUGAAUUUUAAUGUUGGCUUAAUUAGCUGGAUUGCCACUUGUGAGGCAUUUCUUAGAAUGUGAUGGGUUUUAGUUGGUUCGGGUUGGCGGUUCGUGAGCUUGCUAUUAUUCUUGACUAAUUUUUAUGCUGAAAGACUUGGAAACCAUGCUGUCGACCACGUCGAGAAGCUGAGUAACAUUCUGCUUUUACAAUGGCACCUCUUAAUAAAAGGAAUUUAAGCCAUCCAAUCUAGGGCUUCCAUCAAAUCGUGCAGGCUGCAUGGAAGUCGGAUUUACCUUUGCUGUGAACAUCAUGAACACACACUAUUUGAAGGUUCAUGUUUACGUAGCAGUGAUGUUGCUGUCCAAUGUGGCGUGUUGUUGCAGCCUAUGGUGGUGAAAGAUAUCUGCAUCAAGUUGCUGUUCCUUGUGCAUCCAAGGUGCUGGGGUCGAAUUCUGCUGGUUUUGUGCUACAGAAGUGACAUCCAAUAUUGUGUUUAAUUGCUAUUUGUGUCUUUGCAGUUAACCUUUAUAUAUUGAGAAGGAACAAAAAAAAAUAGUAGAUGGGGAGAUUUAUGUCAACCAAAUAAUAAACAUGUCCAGGAUGGGGGAAUGAGGAGGAAGUUGGGGUGGGGUAUUUGGUUAUGAUUUACUAAAAGAAGUGAGGUAUAUUUUUAAUUAAUGAAUAUGCAGUACUUGGUGAUAAAAUAUGUUAUUAACCUAUACAUUACUGUCAACCUAUACCUUCCCCACUUCCACUUACCCAUUCCCCAAACCCCAUAAGCACCAAAAUCAUAUCCCACAUCCACUCACAUCUAUUCCUAAAACCCCACAAUCUCCAACAUCAAAUUCACACAUUUGUAUAUCUAUAAUCAUAAUAAAAAACAUAUAAA
rnacentral:lncRNA from 1 species